rnacentral:rRNA from 1 species
UGGGGAAUUUUGGACAAUGGGCGAAAGCCUGAUCCAGCAAUGCCGCGUGUGAAGAAGGCCUUCGGGUUGUAAAGCACUUUUGUCCGGAAAGAAAUCCUUGGCUCUAAUACAGUCGGGGGAUGACGGUACCGGAAGAAUAAGCACCGGCUAACUACGUGCCAGCAGCCGCGGUAAUACGUAGGGUGCAAGCGUUAAUCGGAAUUACUGGGCGUAAAGCGUGCGCAGGCGGUUUGCUAAGACCGAUGUGAAAUCCCCGGGCUCAACCUGGGAACUGCAUUGGUGACUGGCAGGCUAGAGUAUGGCAGAGGGGGGUAGAAUUCCACGUGUAGCAGUGAAAUGCGUAGAGAUGUGGAGGAAUACCGAUGGCGAAGGCAGCCCCCUGGGCCAAUACUGACGCUCAUGCACGAAAGCGUGGGGAGCAAACAGGAUUAGAUACCCUGGUAGUCCACGCCCUAAACGAUGUCAACUAGUUGUUGGGGAUUCAUUUCCUUAGUAACGUAGCUAACGCGUGAAGUUGACCGCCUGGGGAGUACGGUCGCAAGAUUAAAACUCAAAGGAAUUGAC